UACGGAGGGUGCGAACGUUAAUCGGAAUCACUGGGCGUAAAGCGCGCGUAGGCGGUCUGUUAAGUGGGAUGUGAAAUCCCCGGGCUUAACCUGGGAAUUGCAUUUCAAACUGGCCGACUAGAGUACGGUAGAGGGAGGUAGAAUUUCCUGUGUAGCGGUGAAAUGCGUAGAUAUAGGAAGGAACACCAGUGGCGAAGGCGACCACCUGGACUGAUACUGACACUGAGGUGCGAAAGCGUGGGGAGCAAACAGG
rnacentral:rRNA from 1 species